CGGGGCGUAGCGCAGUCUGGUAGCGCAUCUGCUUUGGGAGCAGAGGGUCGCAGGUUCAAAUCCUGCCGCCCCGACCA
rnacentral:tRNA from 2 species